rnacentral:rRNA from 1 species
CGAACGGGUGAGUAACACGUGGGCAACCUUUCCUAUCGCGGGGGAUAACACCGGGAAACCGAUGCUAAUACCGCAUGUCGUCACCGGUCGCAUGGCUGGUGAAGAAAGCAGCAAUGCACGAUGGGGUGGGCCCGCGGCCUAUCAGCUAGUCGGUGGGGUAACGGCCUACCGAGGCGAUGACGGGUAGCUGGUCUGAGAGGACGGCCAGCCACACGGGGACUGAGACACGGCCCCG